rnacentral:piRNA from 1 species
UGUGAUGACCCUGUCUUCAAGAUAGUCU